AAUAAUGGUAUCCUUUGUGUACAGAAGCUUUUUAGUUUCUUGAGGUUAUACUUACUAAUUGUUGGUCUUGAUGGCUGUGCUUUUAGAGUUCUGUUCAGAAAGUCCUAUGCCUAUACAUUUCUGUGUAUUUCCUUUCUCUUCUAUCAGAUUUCAAGUAUCACGUCUUAUGUUGAAGUCCUUGAUCCAUUUGGAACUGAGUUUUGAGCAAGGUUGAGAAGUCAAAAUUGAGGCCUCAGCAGAUUCAAGGUAUAGGAGGGCUGCUUUCCUGCUUUCUGCUGCAACAAUGUUUCCUUUGUCCACAUGGUCAAGAGAAGGAUUGAAGAUGUUGGCACAACCUUGGGAAGGAGUCUGGCACUGACCACCCCCCGGUGCCCUGCACCUCCUGCAGCCCCAAUAAGAGAGGCCCACCAACAUACAACGAGCACCACCAGAAGGCCCAGCCACCCUUGAGAGCCAAGCACACCCCACUGCGACCGUGACCGUGACCGUGAGGGAUGGACAGAGCUGCGUAGGGACAAGUCUCCUGGCUGCCCCCUGGAGCGUGAGAAGUCCCCAGGCGGGAUUCUCAGCACAAGGAGGGAGCGGUCCCCUGGGAGGUUGUUUGAAGACAGCUGCAGGGGACAGCUACCUGCAGGAGCUGUGAGAACCCCAUUGUCCUGGGUUAAUAAGGUCUGGGACCAGUCUUCAGUGUAAGUCUCAACCAGAAGAACCAACUCCUCAUCUCAGUCUGCAGGAAAACACCAUGCCAAGAAUCGCCACUGAAGGGGACCUUGGCAUCAUCUGGGCAGCCCAUUCUGGCACUGUUGGUCCCAGACUUCCCUGGCACGGACACCCGUCUCUAGGGGGUGCGGGUGGUCGAGGCUCUUCAGCGCUGGUAGGCUUGGUGCCCCCACCAGGGCUCCUUCCUGCAGUCAUCCUAAGAAAACAGACUUCUUAAUAGAUUUGAAUAGCGAUGUGUAAAAAAAAAAAUCUUUUAAAAGUGCAAUAAAAGAAUGAUCACGCUUCCUAACUUAAAAACUAGCCUCAUCUUUGUGAGGCUCUCCACCACAGAUCCAGUUGCAGGGAUUAGCUCCUCUGGAAUCUGCUUCAUUCGGGGUUCUGUGUGGAACCUCUGCUGGAGCAUAGUAGACCCACUUCCCAGGGGAUUCAGGUUUCUUGGAAACAAGCAGACCCUUUUGUGUCAUUGAAGAAAGUUGGAAAAGAUGCCAUUGUCUUACUCUGUAUCGCCACAUCACCCUCAUACUUUCCUGAAGCUGGAUAGCAUUGAAGCUUUUCCUUGUGGAUGCCCCUCAGGUGUGACCUCAGCAGCUUAGCUCUGUGGUGGACCUCUUGCAAAAACAGAGUGGAACAGCAACUAGGAAACUGGCAGGGCCACAACUUAUGGAACUGGGCCUUCAUAAAACCUUGAGUCCUCAGGAUUCAGAAUGCAUACAACUUUCAACAGGAUAUUAUCUGUAACUUUUUCCUGUUCCCUUAUUAAUUUUAAAACAACCAGACAUUGCAGAAUUAGCCAGAACACUGUUUCAAUUUUAUGUUGUAAAAAAAGAUUUAGUCUAUUUUAAAUUAUGUCUAUAUUGGUGGUGUGGGUAUAAGCAUGUGUGAGUAGAGGUCCCCACAAGGUCCUGAAGAGGGCAGCAGAUCCCCUUGAGCCUUCAAAUGUGGGUGCUGGAAACAGAUUUUGGCUGUUCUGCAAGAGCAGUAGUUGCUCUUAACUGCUGAGCCAUGUCUCCAGCCCCACUACACCAAGAUGGGCCGUUCUUUUCACCUUACACUCAAGGAUUUCUUCCAUUCUUGUUUUUCACUAAGUCCUUGAUGAGUUUGCACUUGGCCUAACCCAAAACAUUGGGAACAAAAAUAAGUACAAAUAAUGACCUGAGUCCAAGCUCGCAGAAUGACAAGGUAGGAAGCAGCAAGUGUUUAUCUGUGAACCUUCUCAUUGUUAAAAAGUGACUGAGGCAACUUAUAGAGAUGUGUAAGGAAAAUAAGAGAAAUCAAAUCUAAGCCUGGGGGAAGUUGAUACACAAAAUAGAUCUUAAGGUCUUUGGC